GACGAACGCUGGCGGCGUGCUUAACACAUGCAAGUCGAACGGAAAGGCCCUGCUUGCAGGGUACUCGAGUGGCGAACGGGUGAGUAACACGUGGGUGAUCUGCCCUGCACUUCGGGAUAAGCUUGGGAAACUGGGUCUAAUACCGGAUAGGAGCCAUCUUUAGUGUGGUGGUUGGAAAGUUUUUUCGGUGUAGGAUGAGCUCGCGGCCUAUCAGCUUGUUGGUGGGGUAAUGGCCUACCAAGGCGGCGACGGGUAGCCGGCCUGUGAGGGUGUACGGCCACAUAGGGAGAGUGAGACAGGCCAGAGACCCACACGGGGGGGAGGAGGGGAAAAUAGCGCAAAAGGGGCGAAACUGAGGCGGCGACGCCGCGUGGGGGAUGAAGGCCUUCGGGUUGUAAACUCCUUUCGCUAGGGACGAAGCUUUGUUGUGACGGUACCUAGAUAAGAAGCACCGGCUAACUACGUG
rnacentral:rRNA from 1 species